CAAGAGGCUUUCAUGACCUUUCUUGGUUUUCCAACAAAGAGGGGGUUUGCCACCAUAAGUUCUUUAUCUGUCAACUAGGAGCUUAUUCAAAGUUCUCCACGUUUGGAUUGACUCAUUGGAUAAUACUUGACGCUUAACGCUUAAGCUUGUGAAGUUUGUGUCUACAAGAGGUCAGGAAAAUGUUCAGGAUCGGCUGCCAGAGGCGUGACAGUGUCGUGUCGCCCGUGUUUACUAGAUGUCUAUUUCCUUACCCUUAGUUAGGAUUGUUAAACGUUUUAAAUUGUUAAACUUUAUGUAUGACUCAGUCACCUUUGACUUGAGCUAUUGUUUGUUUCCGCUACGAUAUGGACCAUUGAGGUCUUAAUUACGAUGAUAGUAUUGAGUUAUGUUAUGGAGGCUUAAUGCCAUUGGAGUCCUCUUUAGGACAAUUGUUUAUUGUUGUGCAGGCUGGCGCUCAUUGUUCUAUAAAAUUGCGUCACGUCUGUCUAA